rnacentral:tRNA from 1 species
UUCCGAAGUAGCUCAGCGGUAGAGCAAUCGGCUGUUAACCGAUCGGUCGUAGGUUCGAUUCCUACUUUCGGAGU